rnacentral:rRNA from 1 species
UACGUAGGGCGCAAGCGUUGUCCGGAAUUAUUGGGCGUAAAGAGCUCGUAGGCGGCUUGUUACGUCGUUCGUGAAAACUUGGGGCUCAACCCCAAGCUUGCGGUCGAUACGGGCAGGCUAGAAUUCGGUAGGGGAGACUGGAAUUCCUGGUGUAGCGGUGAAAUGCGCAGAUAUCAGGAGGAACACCGGUGGCGAAGGCGGGUCUCUGGGCCGAUACUGACGCUGAGGAGCGAAAGCGUGGGGAGCGAACGGG